CCUACGGGUGGCAGCAGUGGGGAAUAUUGGACAAUGGGGGCAACCCUGAUCCAGCCAUGCCGCGUGUGUGAAGAAGGCCCUCGGGGUGUAAAGCACUUUCAGUGAGGAAGAACGCCUGGUGGUUAAUACCCAUCAGGAAAGACAUCACUCACAGAAGAAGCACCGUCUAACUCCGUGCCAGCAGCCGCGGUAAUACGGAGGGUGCGAGCGUUAAUCGGAAUUACUGGGCGUAAAGCGCGCGUAGGUGGCUUGAUAAGCCGGUUGUGAAAGCCCCGGGCUCAACCUGGGAACGGCAUCCGGAACUGUCAAGCUAGAGUGCAGGAGAGGAAGGUAGAAUUCCCGGUGUAGCGGUGAAAUGCGUAGAGAUCGGGAGGAAUACCAGUGGCGAAGGCGGCCUUCUGGACUGACACUGACACUGAGGUGCGAAAGCGUGGGUAGCAAACAGGAUUAGAUACCCCUGUAGUC
rnacentral:rRNA from 1 species